rnacentral:rRNA from 1 species
CCUACGGGAGGCAGCAGUAGGGAAUUUUCGGCAAUGGGGGGAACCCUGACCGAGCAACGCCGCGUGAACGAAGAAGUUAUUCGUAAUGUAAAGUUCUUUUAACAGGGAAGAAAGAGAAAUUUGACGGUACCUGAAGAAUAAGCUCCGGCUAACUACGUACCAGCAGCGGCGGUAAUGCGUAGGGAGCGAGGGUUAUCCGGAAUUAUUGGGCGAAAGGGGUGGGUAGAUGGGAUAGUAAGUCUAUUGGAAAAAUGCUGGGCUCAACCCAGUAGGGCAAAAGAUACUGGAAAGCUUGAGUCUGAUAGAGGGAAGUGGAACUACAGGUGUAGCGGUAAAAUGCGUAGAUAUAUGUAAGAACACCAGUGGCGAAGGCGGCUUGCUGGGUCGAUACUGACAUUGAGGCACGAAAGCGUGGGGAGCAAACAGGAUUAGAUACCCCAGUAGUC